UUUUUGUAGUUUUACCUUAUCCUAAGGUGGCCACGGUGCCAGAUGAAGAGAUUGGUUGUCAUCUUGGUUCCAGCGGUGGUCUUGACAAUCCAGAGGUGGCCGCGGUGUCAAAAGAGGAGAUUGAUAUUCAUCUUGAUUCCAAUACUUUUUAACGGAAGGGAAUUGGAGCAGAACUGUUGCCCAUUCCUGGAUUUUCGCACAAACUUGAGCGAGAAUUGGGUGGAUAUUAUUAUCCAGCAAGGAACCAUUGUUGGCGCAGAGGACAUCAACCAAAAGGUCAUGGUCGGCGAGUGCUCAGCGGCAAAUCAAAUGGUUCCAGCCUGGGAUCCCACCUCAUUAUAUCUAACCCAAGAA